AAGAUGUAGAAAAAGAAAGAAAAGAAAGUCAACCAUCAUCAUCUUUUUACCUUAUCUCCCACGUCUCUCACUUCCAUUUUUAACAAGUUUUUAAUUUCUUCCAUUUUGGUCCCUUCUUCCAUUACCAACCCUUUCAAGCUUUAACUUCAAUUUCCUCCAUGGAUUUUUAGUGAAAUCCCAAGAACAACUUCAUGACAAGUUAAGUCGUUUGUGAAGUUAGCUAGAAUACAUACUUGUGGAAAGAGAAAAGAAAAGUUAAGGAUUUGAGAAGGAAGGUAAGAUGAUGAAGUUUUUUUUUAUUUAUUUAGGAUUUCAUGUCUAUUUCAUCUAAAUGCGUGGGAAUAGUAUGUAAUUGUAAGAUAAAAGAAGUGAAGCACAGAUUAGGGAUAAAGGCAAGGGAGUUGCAAAAGAGUGAAGAAGAAGAAAAUGACUCAUCCAAGUAUUAGAUUGUGAAGAUUGUUUUGAAACUUUAGAGUGAAGAUCAAUUCUGACUCAUCUCAAUACAAACCGAGGCUUGGAAGAGAGUAUGUUUUGAUUUUUGGCAAUAAUUGAUGGCAUGUACAUAGGGUCAUGUUAACAAUGUUGUGGAUGAACUUUCAUGGAAACAUUUGAUAGUAUUUGAUUCUUCAUGCAAAUUUUGUAAACUUGGACUUGUUUAAUUUAGUUUUAAGUGGCAUUAUAUGAUGUCUUGAUGGGGAACCAUGUGUGAUAAUGUUUAGGAAGUGUUGUGGAAUGAAUUAAAAAUGUUUAGAUUUUGUUUUAA